UAACCCUUGUGGAGGAGGACGCCGAAGGUGGGGCUAAUGACUGGGGUGAAGUCGUAACAAGGUAGCCGUACCGGAAGGUGCGGCUGGAUCACCUCCUAACAGGGAGACAACAAAAUGUUUAAUAUUAUUAUUUUGUCACCUUAGGUCGAUCGGUAUCUCACAUCCUUAAUUUAUUAAGGAUUUCAUUUCCUAAGUUUUUCUAGGUCACACCCAUUAUUUUUCCUGGGCCAUUAGCUCAGGUGGUUAGAGCGCACCCCUGAUAAGGGUGAGGUCCCUGGUUCAAGUCCAGGAUGGCCCAUAUCUCUAUGUUGGGGGUAUAGCUCAGUUGGUAGAGCGCCUGCUUUGCAAGCAGGAUGUCAGCGGUUCGAGUCCGCUUACCUCCACUGAUUACCACCUCUUCCAUAUUUAAGAUGAAGGAAAUGUUUUGAGUUGUGAUCAAAUUCUGAACGAUUCUAGCUUCCUAAUGAAAUCAUUAAGAUGCUGGACUCAUUGAAUUAAUUUCAUUGUUUUCAGAGAACCUUGACAACUGCAUAGAUUAUUUUUAAAGACAAUAAGCAUCUUUAAUGAUGCAGAUUUAUUAUUUGUGCGAAUGCAUUAAAUAACAAUUCUAUUAAGCUGAUGCUUCAAUUAUUGAAGUUAUUGGUCAAGCUACAAAGGGCUCACGGAGGAUACCUAGGCACAC
rnacentral:misc_RNA from 1 species